GCGGCAGGAGGAGGAGGAGGAGGGCGGGCGGGACGGCGCGGCGGCGGCCCCUCGGCCUCGCACACACGGCUCGGCGCGCUGCCGCUCGCACUCACACACACACGCACGCACCGAAAGGGGGAGGAACCGGGACUCGCCCUUCCUCCCCCUCCCGGCGGCGGCGCCCGGCCCAUUAACCCCCGCGCCCCCGGGCGCUCCGCCGCGCUGCCUCCCGCAGGCGCCGCCCCUCCUCCGCGCGGCGGCAGCGGCCGGCGGCGGCCGCUCGGCGCCAACGGCGGCCGCGCGCCCCGCCGCGGCACCGCGCUUCCCGCCGCACCUCGCCGCCGCCUCUCCCGCGCUCCCCCUUCCGCGGAGGGGUUGGUACAUCCCGUUUUGCUGCAGUCGAGCCCGUUGGUCAGCAGCGGGAGGGGAAGGUAAGCCACAAGUGAAACCAGAUCAUCCUACAGUAUUGGUUCUGUGGUUUGACACUGUCUGGAAGGGACUGAGAUGUGCUGCUGCGACAGUGACUCCAGUUUGGCUUCCAGCUCCCAACUUUCUGCUACUCCUUCUCCUUCAUUUUGCAAGGUAGUGGCCUGAUGGAGAAAUAUCCUUUCCUGGUGGUGCAGGAAGCAGAAGCAGGAGGUUUGGGUGUGCAUCCCCAUGAGAGGUUCACGUGAGCAGAGAGUGCUUUACCUUCCCUGCCCCACGGACAGCACGCGGCAUGCACCUUGCAAAUACCAGUUUUUUGCUCUCUGAAUCAUUUGGCCAACUUUCUGACCCUGCUGACUGGCAGCAGAGCAAUGGGAGUUUAGGGCUGCCACCUUCCAAAUGACUAUCGCUGUGCACAAAUCCAGUACUGCCCCUAACAGGAUCCAAUAUUCACCAGUCGCUGCCUCAGGGGAAACCACUGAGUUACAACAAAAACUGUGCAGUACUUUGACACAAAUCUAAAAAGCCACUAAAAUGAGUAUCAAUCGCUCCUCUUCAUUCAGACUGCUCUGGAAAGACACAUGACUUUGGCACAAAACCCAAGUUUCCUUUCACGGUCCAAGCCAGGUGACUAAUGAGUGUAAGUCAGCCCAUGCAAAGCAGCCACACGCACUGGCUGGCCCUUCUCACCCUGACGAUAACUGCUGGAAGAGAAGAAGUCUCUGCUGACUUCCCAGCCCAGCAUCAGCGCGUUCGCUGGACACAGCACGGCAUCACACGGCAGAGAUUCACAUGGUCGCUUGUACUGUGCGCUGGUUUUGGCCGGCUUCUGUGAGAAACAGUGCCUACAGCAGGAGUACUUUAUUUGCUUAAAACACCACCUGGCAUUUAAACUUUCACUCAGUACUGUGUGUUCGGCAUCAGAGGCUUUAAUGAAAUAACGUUUGUUUUCGAUUUUAGCAAAGCUAGGUCUGGCUGCUAAAGCUGACAUUCAACAGCUCUUUCCACGCUAACCUCUGCCGUCCAAUCUGCGGGUGCUCUUUGCUUUUUUUUAAUUCAAGAUGAGCUAAAUUCUGCCCUGCCAGUGCUGUCUGUCUCUCCGUUGCUCUGUCUCCGCGGGAGGAAAGGCUGCCGUGACAGCUUGCUGCCCCGGCACCCUCCCCCUUGCUCCAUGCACUUCGCACGCUUUGCUCGGGCCAAGCUCCCAAACCGCAGCGUUAUUGUCCUUGCUCGUUUUUUGUUUCUGGCGGCACCCACUGCGUGCCGCACGCACGCAAGCCUAACACAUCACACUGGCCCUGACCUCAAGUGUUUACACUUUGACGGGCAAAGGAAAAGAGGAGGGGAAUUCAGGGGGGAAAGCAAGCAGGGGGAAUGUUGUAUACUCAACGGCUGAGCACAAGUUCGGAAGUCAUUACUUGCCUCUUCAGAUGCUUAAUAUGGAUUUCAUACUUGAUCACUGCACUAAAUACCAACUUUUUUUAAAAGUACCUGUUUUGGAGGAUUGCAGAACACUCUGACUAAUUGCUUCUCCUAUGAUUUCUCAUGUGCUCUUCAAACAUAAGUCAGUAAAGGUGAAACUGUGGCAAAGAGGUGGAUCAGACUCUGCUUCCUUGCUUGCUCUAAAUCAGAGCUUUAUCUUUAACUGUGUACCUUAUUAUAUGGUACCUUAUUAUAUAAAAAGCAGAGGAAUACCCCAUGCAGACCUACAAGCCCUCAUUUUGCAAAUACGUCAUUAGAGGUCCACGUCAAUGAAAAGAACAAUCUGAAUGGUAGCCUGCAGAGUCCCACUGAAAUCACUGUGGGUAAUUUCAUCUUUAUAGUUCAUCUACUCUCUAUAACUGAGAGACAGAAUAUUAAUGCGUCUAAAGACCACGAGGAUAUCCAUUCACUACGCAGCCAUGAAAGCUCCAGGGCUGGUGCCAGGGCAAUGCAUACUGCAACGCUACUGUUCAGCAAAAAGGCAAGUGUUUAGACUCUGCCACUUUCUGAGGUCGAGAAUAGCAGGUUAUAAGACUGCCAGAGCAAAAGUCUUCAGCACUCAGGUCUUGGGACCUACCCUCUAUCUAGUUUACCGAUUUAUAUUAACCUCAGUUUCCUAAUCCAUACAGUGAAGAAAACAGCUCUAGAGGUUGCAGUGAAGGCAUCAGCAUUACAGCUGAAUUGCAAGUCUCUCAGCACAGUUUACUUUUGUUUUCUACAAGGGCACUCAGGUGCAAGUAAUUAAAUAUUUGCAAAGUACUCCAAACCCUCAGGAAAGCUGUAAGCAGAGGACAAAGCCAGACUUUGCAAUUUCUUUGCUUAUGAAAUUCUUUUUUUCCCUAAACCUCCGUUCUCUUAUUAAAAGAGCAAAAAACCCCACCUCCCUCACUCUAGCUCUUUUCAAAAUUCAACAGGAGUCCGAGCACUGCUUCAGCCUGUGGUGUCUCUUCUCCCCACUGUCUGACUCAGACUUGUCUCAUCCUCAUUCUUAUCUUGCUACCCUGGGAAUUAAUCUUCCUGUGCACAUAUGGCACAGCAGAGACAGUGCAGUGCUUCCUAGCACACCUACCGAAGCCUUCUGAAGAAAUAACUAAUGACUUCGUGGCUCUUGUUUGACUGAAAAUAGAUUGCUAUGGGCCUGCUCCUGCUCCUUAUGCCACUUGGUAGUAUAAUUUCCAUUACCUUCAUUGGUACUGGAUCAUGCUUUUAGCUGGACAUUAGUGCAGUAAACAGCAUGGUCUGGAGAUUUUCAAUCUGUUAAGAUCACAGCUUUCUCCAGACACUGGGCUGCUCAGAGACUAACCCCCUCCUUCCCAUGAAAUGAUUCACACAGCACUGGUUUUCUUCUGCCUUUCCCAAUUAGAUCUCAAAGCGGUGUUAGAUUAAAACUAAUCCCAGACCUCUGUCCUUCUGGUUAGUGCUAAUUUGGACCAGUUUCCUCAUCCAGUUCAAACACUCGUCCCAGCACAAGUGCAAGGGCACCAGGAAGGGGAGCGGGAGAAAGCAGAAUCGCUUUGUACAGUGGCAGUGUGCAGAAGACUAGAGCCUAAAUUUUUCUAACAAUUGCUAUGAGCAGGGCUGGAUGCAUCCAGGAUCUGGUUGAGGGUAGAAGGGAGAAAAAUGGGGAGAAGGCAGCUGCACAGCCACGUCUUUGUCCCGAGCUGGGAAGUGCUAAAUGAGGGUGAGCUCCAGCCUUUGUGUCCCACUGCCAAGUCUAUGCUUCCCACAUAUGAGGAAUCAAAGUCACCAUCUUAUCACUUUCUUCUUCCAGCACAGCAGCUGGGUAAGAUUAAAACCAAAUGAAGUCCUGCCUUUUUGCAGCGAUUCUUCAUGCUCUUACCAAUAAAGUAAGUACUGUCACAAUACCCAGCAAUGAAAUAGGGCUAAAGAGGAGGGAUAUCACGUCUUUCAUGAUGGAGCAAGGAGGGACCCUGAGAUGCUUCCCUCCUUUCCUUCCCUCCACCAAAGUAUAGGUGUACUACAGGUAUGUCUACAACGUCUUAGAUACUAGUGUUGCCAUGACUGUGGAAUUCAUAGACAUAGUAAGCGUGCCACAAGCUCAAGAGAGCUAUGGACACUUUGGCCCAUGCUAAUGGGAGAAGGAAUUCAGUCAGAAAUGAAUCCCUACUUUGUAAAAAUAAACUUGAAGAGACUUUAAACACUUACCUGGAUAGACAUGAGUCAUGCAGAAUGAGCAAUACUCAUCCCGGGAUAUUCAGUGAUCCUAUCAUUUUGGAGGUCCCCUGAAACUUCUAAUGAUCUUUUCCCACAAUCUUAUCAUUCUCCUUACUGUCCCUAAGUAAAAUUCUGACUCGUGGGAGGGGAUUAAACUUCAGUGAAGUCAAUGGCAUUGGAUCCACCAAGACCAGGCCUGAUUUCACACCUGUGUCGCCAAGCAUUUACACCAGCUGCACUCAUUUCUGAUAUAACUCUGCAUCAACCACACGGCACAAGAAUGGCCUUGUGAUUCCGGCUUCUGCUCACAGGCUGCAAACCUUCCUCAUGCGCUUGCCUAGAGCUCCUUCAAGACUAGCCCCAAAAAUGGGCCACAGGAAGGUUUCCUCAGCCCGGCUGUGCAACGGGCUGCAGCUGAUGUCUCCUCUCAACACCCAGCCCUGCUGCAAGCUUCUGGCAGCAGCAAGCACGACUGCCCUUCAACACUGUAUGCUUACAUUUUCCACAGGGUUGGCCAGGCAAUUUUCCUCUCCAGGAAAUCCUUCCCCUCCCCUGUCAUCCAACCCUGGCUUCACCCCACGGCCCAUCCCAGGUCACUAUUACAGCAAGCCUCCAGCACAUGACAGCAGUCACAUUCCUGGUGUGUUUUACUCUUCAGAGCUGUCAUCCUGCUAUAAAGCAUCUGAAAACAGUAGAAGGCAAAAGUAUUCAGCAUGUCGAGAGAGUGAGCACCUAAACAGCAGACUCUCUGGAGCAGGGGAUGACCUCCUGCCAGAGGUAAAGCCCUACGCAGGUAGCACAGCAGAGAAGUCCUUGUCCCCACUUCUCACCCAGUCACACCCAGUCUCUGCCCUGUACCCAGCUUCCCCACGCAAACUAUAAAUAUAUUUUCAUUUUCUGGCUUGUAAAUCCUUCUAUUCAGAAAAUAAGUUUUCUUUCCCUCCAACCCAUAACCUAAUUUAAAAUUUCCUCUCCCUUUUCAAAAUCCUAUUUCUUUCCUGAUACAAAUACUUCACCUAACUCCUACUCUUCUCCAUGAUACCAUCUCUUGCACACUGCCUUAAGUUCCCCUGGCUUUUACUGCUCCUCACCAAGCUCUGAACCUUCGCACUUCUAUUUUUCACAUUGAUUCCCCUUCUCAUCUUUCUAGUUCUUCUAACGUCCCAAUGGAAACAGCUUCCAACCUGCACCAAGAAUGGUCCUGCAUGAGCCCUUCCAGAUCCUCUCUUCCUGUACCAUGCAUGUAAUUCACUUGAUCCACCUCUGAACAACACAGAAGGCUUCUGCCCACUCUAAGUGGGCAAAGUGCACAAAACCAGCCAUUCCAAAUUGCUGUGCAUGUCUCUGACUGACGUUCCAGGUUUCCCCAUCUAUAUCUUCAGGCAGACUCUGCGUCCUGGUCCCAUCAGGCUGAGGAUGCUUACUCAGCAACAGGCAUCCAAACCGAUGGCUGACACCUUUGUAUCCUGUCCUCAGCCAGACUGAAGCAAGUCAGCCAGGUUAUGCCAAGCAAAACUGCAUGCUGCAGAGUGGCUCACCACCUCUGAUGGUGCAGCAGGAGAAGGUGGGUUGCUGUAGCCAAAGGAAGAUGACUAAACACAGGCUGUAGUAGUAAGGUGAAGACACUGCUGGUUGUGGACCAUUGCUCUGCCACAUAUUCCAUUAAAAACACAAUCAGGCUUUGACCUGGUUUUCCUUCUGCUAAUUCCAAGAGCAGUCGUCAAAUCUCAUCUUUAAAAUAUAGCCCAUCGUGACCCUAGUCUUGGGCCAAUGGUCUAAUGAAGCCACCCAGAACAACUGGGAGUUGCUCACAGAUACGUGGACAACAAACCAGCCACCAAAUUUGGUGACUUAGGGCAGGGAAUCAAACUCAUUCUGUGAGGAGAAACAAAUCCUCUUUGUCACCUCAGCUGUUCAAUUACAACAACAUGCCACUUGCGUUCCACCACAGGCUUCAACUGGUGGCCGUGGAAAGCCACCACAGAGACACAGAACAGUCUUUUAUACAGAAAUUAAACCUGCACAUUGCACGGCAGAGGUGCAGUACCGUACUUCAGUGUUACUCAGUGAGGAAAUCUGAUCUAUUUAGAGAGAUCUCUUUGCCCUUUUUGUUCUGUCUUUUCCACCCUAUUACACCAGUCCUUUUCCUUUUGCAGGUGUCUCCCUCCUUUUUCCUCCAUAUUUCCUUCCCUCCAUCAAGUGUCCAGAGACUUCGGUCCCAUUCCUUGCCCACCAGCAUCAGCUGUGGACAUGUAGCUCACACUGACACUCCAAGCACCCUCGUUUCAUAUUCAAGUUAACACUCUAAAGAGGGGCAGGGAUCACAAAUCCCAGAGCCACAGUCUCAAUCUGCAGACUCAGGAGGACUGAACUAGGACAACACAAUAUCUGAAAGCUCAGAAAUAACAGAUGCAAAGUCAACAAUACGAAUGUUAAUAUACUGCAAGGGGAGAAAGGAGAAACAGCUCCCACUGCCUAACAUGCCAGAGAAGAAAAGCAUGGGCAGGUCUGAAAUACCUGAUCUUGGCUUCUCCUCCUGAGAUGAGGCAGUGAGAAAGCUCCAUCAAUUCCUAGAAGAGGAUCUGCAUUAGGGAACAACUUGUGGGCAGUGAUCUCACCAUCCACCAUCUUGUUUUCCGCAAGACUACAACGGCCAAGGACAGGAACCGUACAGAAGACCCUUCUGCACAUUUAUCCAAGGCCUCAACCUCAGCAGACCACGUGCAGAGGGGCAGACACAGAAGGGCUGAGGGAGGGAUCCUGAAGGCAGGAGGGGAGGGGAGAUUGAGGGCAGGAUGGGUCCACCGGCCAGGACCAGACCAAGCAGUGGUGAGGCCGUUGCAAUUGCCCUGGCAGAGCCGCUCCAACACCGCCCUUCAACCUGGAGCAGAUGAUUACUGCAACCUCCACCCCACGGCGCAGCUGGAAACACCGACACGUUCAGAGCUUUAAAGCAGGGGGAAAAUACAGUCAGCCUGAAAUGUUUUAAGUGCCAAGGGCAGCGAGCACCCAGGGAGAGCACCCAGGGAGACGUCUUUGCGGGCCGAGCGGAGCAGGCACUUCCCGGCUAUGCUGCCCGCGGGCACCAGGCGCUUGCGGCCGCCCCGGCCACGCGCAGCUGCGCAGGGCACCCGUUACGCAAGCACUGACUCCGAUAGCACCCGGCAAAGCCGGCGCUGCAAAGGCUGCAGCGAACAACUGUCAAAUGAUAAGAGACUUCAGUCACUGCUGACUGAAGCUGGAUUUAACCUAGCUGGGAAAGGCUUUGUAUCUCAUUACCGCCCCACUGCGCCAGGCACUUCCCUCCCCAGCUGCACUGUUUUGACCUCAUUUCUGAAAAUAAACCAUGAGCUGUUUUCUCCUUUUACCAAGUAA